AUCUUUACUUGAACAUUGUCUUUGCCUUUCUAUGUUUUAACUUAAGAUCUAUGCUUUUUUACUUGUAUAUUUUGGUUUAUUUAUGGUUUUUGAUUUUUAGGUUUAAAAAUCACUGUUUCGCUGUGUUUGAAAACCAUCGAUCUGAGUCUGUUUGUUUCUUUUUGGUUGUUUUAUUUUCUAAUUUCGUGAGAGAGAGAAGCCCUAAGUUUUCUCUUUCGUUUCUGUUCGUUGAGAUUUUUGAAAUCCCUGCUUUAUCGGAGACUGAUUUCAGGACAUUUUCCAAACUCAGUGCGCCGUUCAUCGUCCUUCUUCUCAUCCAGUGUUUCAGGGAAUAAAAGAAAUCCAUAACAGAAGCGGUACUGCAGAAAAGUGUUUCAUAAAAAACCCCUAGCAAAAGCUUCGAUGCAGGCGUAAAACCCUUGUUCCCACCCCCUGUUUUCAUUCGUAAAGAAAAUGGAGGAACCAAAGAUUGGGGAUUGCGAAGAGUGCAAAAAGAAGGCGUCAAAAUACAAGUGCCCAGGUUGCUGCCUCCGCACCUGCA